AGAGUUUGAUCCUGGCUCAGAUUAACGCUAGCGGUAUGCCUAAUACAUGGCAAGUCUAGCGGGAGCAGCAAUGCAGCUAGCGGCAAACGGGUGAGUAAUACGUAUCUAAUCUACCCUUUAGAAAGGAACAACAGAUCGAAAGAUUUGCUAAUACCUUAUAGGACAUAGAUUUACAUGAAACUAUGUUUAAAGUUCCGCUCGGAACGCUUUAGGAUGAGGGUGCGGCUUAUCAGAUAGUUGGUGAGGUAAUGGCCCACCAAGUCAAUGACGAGUAGCUAUGCUGAGAGGUAGAAUAGCCACAAGGGGACUGAGACACGGCCCCUACUCCUACGGGAGGCAGCAGUAGGGAAUUUUUCACAAUGGGCGAAAGCCUGAUGGAGCAAUACCGCGUGAAUGAUGAAGGUCUUCGGAUUGUAAAAUUCUUUUAUAAGGGACGAACGAUGUGAACAGGAAAUGGUUCGCAAGUGACUGUACCUUUUGAAUAAGUAACGGCAAACUAUGUGCCAGCAGCCGCGGUAAUACAUAGGUUACAAGCGUUAUCCGGAUUUACUGGGCGUAAAGCGAGCGCAGGCUGAUUUACAAGUCUGGUGUUAAAUGCAUUUGCUUAACAAAUGUAUGCAUUGGAANCUGUAAAUCUAGAGUGUGAUAGGGAGNUCUGGAACUCCAUAUGGAGCCGGUGGAAUGUGUAGAUAUAUGGAAGAACACCUGUGGNGAAAAGCG
rnacentral:rRNA from 1 species